CAGCAGCCGCGGGAAUACGAAGGGGGCGAGCGUUGCUCGGAAUGACUGGGCGUAAAGGGCGCGUAGGCGGAUGGCACAGUCAGAUGCGAAAUUCCCGGGCUUAACCUGGGGGCUGCAUUUGAUACGUGUUGUCUAGAGUGAGGAAGAGGGUUGUGGAAUUCCCAGUGUAGAGGUGAAAUUCGUAGAUAUUGGGAAGAACACCAGUGGCGAAGGCGACUCUCUGGUCUGUAACUGACGCUGAGGAGCGAAAGCGUGGGGAGCGAACAGGAUUAGAGACCCGAGUAGUCCCUGUCUCUUAUAC
rnacentral:rRNA from 1 species